UAAUGAAAAGGCAGGAACACAGUGGAGCUGCUGGCUGAUGGAGCAGAAGGGGAAGUAUACGCAGUCAUUGGCAGUGGAGCCGAGCAGAACCGAGCCUAACCGAGACAGCCCGAACAGGACUCACUGCACCGGGACGUCUCUAUUCGCAGUUGCACCUGCCAGAUGACACGCACUUUAAAACAGGAGGAAAAUGUCGCCUGCUGUGAGUGGCAUAUUUCAUCCCGGAGCAAAAGAUGAUCACCUUUUACGUGCUUUACUGUAACUUCACACGCUGCAGAUGGGCUUUUGAAUUUGGGAUUAUGUGACGCACAACUGGCAAAAAAAAGGCACAGCGAGGACUGACAGGUGACAUCACUGUAACCGUGGGAGCCAGGGACUGCCAUUCAUGCCAGUGGGGUGUGUGUGUGUGUGUGUGUG